rnacentral:lncRNA from 1 species
ACGUCCUUCGGACGGAAUAAAAAUGGACGUCCUUUGGACGUCCGACGUUGGACGUCCUUCGGAAGGAAUAAAUAUGGACGUCCUUUGGACGUCCGACGUUGGACGUCCUUCGGACGGAAUAAAAAUGGACGUCCUUUGGACGUCCGACGUUGGACGUCCUUCGGAAGGAAUAAAUAUGGACGUCCGACGUUGGACGUCCUUCGGAAGGAAUAAAUAUGGACGUCCUUUGGACGUCCGACGUUGGACAUUCUUCGGACGGAAUAAAAAUGGACGUCCGACGUUGGACGUCCUUCGGAUGGAAUAAAUAUGGACGUAUAUAUACUGGACGAAAUACGGACAAUUUAUGAACGCUUCUAUUGGACACAUUAUACCAAUUACGGGAUCAAAUAGCAAAAUAAUUCAAUAAAAUAUUAACUUAUUUACGUUAAUGAAAUACAGUAAAACCUGUCAGUAACGGACACCUGCCAAAAUUGGUCACAUGUACUAACGGCCAGUUUAAAAAUUCCCCAAACCAUAUCUAGACUACAAAAACUGGCAAUACCGGCCACCUUUCUAUAUCGGCCAAUAGUUUUUUCAUUUUUAGUGGCCGUUACUGUAAAUGGUUUGGGGAAUUUUUAAACUGGCCGUUGUUAGUACAGGUGGCCUAUGUUGGCAAGUGGCCGGAAACACAGGUUUUGCUUUAGUUUCCCUAAUAGCACACGACGUCCUUUGGACGUCCAAAAUAGGUCCAUUUUUGGUCCUAACGUCCAUGGACUAUAACGUCCCAUGUUGGACGUCCUUCGGAAGGAAUAAAAAUGGACGUCCUUUGGACGUCCGACGUUGGACGUCCUUCGGACGGAAUAAAUAUGGACGUCCUUUGGACGUACGACGUUGAACGUCCUUUGGACGUCCAUACUGGACGAAAUACGGACGUUUUAUGAACGCUUAUCUUGGACACAUUAUACCAAUUACGGGAUCAAAUAGCAAAAUAAUUCAAUAAAAUAUUAACUUGCGUUAACUUUACGUUAAUGAAAUACAGUCAAACCUGUCACUAACGGCCACUAAAAUGAAAGAACUAUUGGCCGAUAUAGAAAAGUGGUCGUUAUUGCCAGUUUUUGUAGCCUAGAUAUACAGUACAACCUGUGUUACUGGCCACCUGUACUAACGGCCAGUUUAAAAAUUCCCCAAACCAAUUAUAUCUAGACUACAAAAACUGGCAAUACUGGUCAACUUUCUAUAUCGUCCAAUAGCUUUUUCAUUUUUAGCGGCCGUUACUGACAGGUUUUACUGUAAUUAGUGUGGGGAAUUUUUAAACUGGCCGUUAGUACAGGUGGCCGGUGUUGGCAGGGGGCCGGUAACACAAGUUUUACUGUAGUUUAAAUCGAAAAGAUUAAAUCUUAAUUCAAAAUUGUAUAUUAAAUUAUUACAAUUAUAAACUAUAUAGUUUAAUAUCCAAAACAUGUUUUGAUUUCAUGUAAUGUAAUGAAAAUCUUAUUUGUAAAUUAUUGGUUACAAUGUUUAACAACAGGAAAUAUUCAAGAAUAAAUAAAAUAAAAGUUUCCCCUAACAACAAAACAUUCCAGGAAUUCUACUAUCAAAGUUCUAUUCCGUGAACAUCUGAUUAAAUUAUGGCUGGAAAGUUACCACAAGAUAUUCUAUGAAAAGAGUACAAUGUCCUCCUGGAGGGGUAAAAUUUUCCAUACUCUAGAGAGGCCAUUUACUAUUCAAUUUGCGUUCAUUUUCAAAUUUGCCGCGCGAGUAUCUAUGUAGCGUCGCGUGGUCAUUGGUCAUCAAGUCAUCUUAUUUCAUUUUCAUCAUAAGAUAACCUAAAAAUUUAGUAAAAAUUUUGAUUGGAAAAAAAUGCAUCGAUAAGGGGGUGAAAAAUGGAAAUUAGUGGCUUUUUUUUUGCUGUACUCAACUGUACUGUUUAGUAUUUAUGCUAGUUUUGGCUAUGGCUGGAUCUCUUAAACAAUUAUAAUCAGCUGAAAGUGGUCUACAAAAAACCAGAUAUAACCAAAAUAAAGAUAUAAAAAGUGUAUUGGCUAAUUGGAAGAAACUCAACAUUGUCCAUGCAUAAUAAGUUAUUACUUUAUAAACAAAUAUUAAGACCUAGGAAUGGAACCUGGAUAUAAUCAUCAAGAAGAUAGCAGGAAUCCCGACAAACAACAGGAAAUCCAGCUCCUCGAUACUACUGGGCAAACUAGAAGAUUGAAGAGGACAAAGCCUUUUGAACUAGUUUGAGUGAUAGGUGAUAGUGAAAAGCAGAGCAUAGUGCGUGAUGUGGCUGUGUAUGUUAGAAUAGUGCACGAUCUUGUUAGAUUAGAUAAGAGACGGUAUCGGGUAAGCUCUUCAUUUUAAGAAACAGUUGUAAUUUAGGUUAAAUUAAAAUUGCUCAUUGGUCAGUUAUGACCAGAUUGCUUUUGUUUAUGUUUGACAAAAAGGGCGUAAGUCAGAAUUGCACAUUGCUAAUGUUUUGAUGAUUUCUGGACCAGCAAAAAACUGUUGUAGACGUAAACUGUAUGUACCAAUAAAAAGAGCCGAUUUUUCUGGUCCAGAAAUCAUCAAAACAUUAUCGAUGUGCAUUUCUGACUUAAGCCCUUUUUCCCAAACAUCAGAGAAUUGCAAUGUACAAAUUCCUAUCUGAUUUUUCAUGAAUUUUGUAGGAGACGAAAAACGAUUUUUAGGAUCAUCUCCUGCUUUCACAUGUAAAUUUUGACAUGUCUUGUAGUAAAUAAAUAGUUGAAUUUACUACAAAACAUGUCAAAAAAUAUAUGAAAACAGGAGGUGACCAUAAAAAAAGUUUUUAGUCUCUCUUAAAAAAACUCAUGAAAAAACAAAUCGGAGGUAUGUCACAUCAGUGACUAUAUCCAGGGAAUGUCUAAAAAAUAUACUUUGAUGUCCCAAGAACCAAAUAUAACCUUUAUAUAUAUAUACAGGGUGUAACAAAAAUACAGGUCAUAAACUUAAUCACAUAUCCUGGGACCAAAAAUAGUUUGAUUGGACCUAACUUACCUUAGUACAAAUGUGCACAAAAGAAAAGUUACAGCCCUUUGAAGUUAUAUAUUAAUAGCACCAAGGGCCUUAGAGGCCCAUGGCUUGAAAAGUUUGUUUUUUUCUUCAUUUUCACGUUUCUUUAUGUACUGAGAUCUUCUCUGGCUUGAUAUGUGAUUUUUCUCCAUUCCUUCCUCUUAUUCAUUUUUCUUUUCUGACCCUGUAACACCAUUCUUUCCAAAUCUUUUUCGACCUCUUGCUUCCAUCUAUUUUCCGGUCUUCCUCUUCUCUUUCUUGAAGCUAUAGUGUAGUUUAGUACCCUUUUCGGAGUCCUCGUUUUUGGCAUCCUUUCAAUGUGACCUCGUGAUCUAAGUCUCUGUGCCUUUAUCACUCAUUUGAAGUUACAAAAUGAAAAGUGAUUUUUUCCAAUGUAUCGAAAACAAUGUGCUUUUGUGCACGUUUCAAUUUAAUUAUUAUUGUAGUACCUACCAUUUAAACAACAUUUUAAAAACUUUUUUGCCUCUUAUUGCUUUUUCAAAAAGUCAAUUUUUAUCGAAAUAUUUUGAAUAUUUGUCAAAUCCACCACAUAUUUGUAUAUGGUUAAGUAUGAUUAUGGAGACUUGGUAAUAAUAUGCAAACUUAUUUAUGCUUUACAUUUUUAGGUAUAUUUUGAACCAUAUUAAAAAAGAAGCCAGACUCGAUAAAACGUGCCUUAUCGAAAAAAUACAAAGAGGCAAAAAAGUUUUGAAAACACUCUGUUUAA